rnacentral:rRNA from 1 species
UACGUAGGGAGCAAGCGUUGUCCGGAAUCAUUGGGCGUAAAGCGCGCGUAGGCGGCCCUGUAAGUCCGUUGUGAAAGUCAAAGGCUCAACCUUUGAAAGCCGAUGGAUACUGCAGGGCUAGAGUCCGGAAGAGGCGAGUGGAAUUCCUGGUGUAGCGGUGGAAUGCGUAGAGAUCCGGAAGAACACCGGUGGCGAAGGCGGUGAGCUGGGCAGUUGCUGACACUGAGGCGCGACAGCGUGGGGAGCAAACAGG